AUUGAACGCUGGCGGCAGGCCUAACACAUGCAAGUCGAACGGUAACAGGAAGAAGCUUGCUUCUUUGCUGACGAGUGGCGGACGGGUGAGUAAUGUCUGGGAAACUGCCUGAUGGAGGGGGAUAACUACUGGAAACGGUAGCUAAUACAGCAUAACGUCGCAAGCCCAAAGAGGGGGACCUUCGGGCCUCUUGCCAUCGGAUGUGCCCAGAUGGGAUUAGCUAGUAGGUGGGGUAACGGCUCACCUAGGCGACGAUCCCUAGCUGGUCUGAGAGGAUGACCAGCCACACUGGAACUGAGACACGGUCCAGACUCCUACGGGAGGCAGCAGUGGGGAAUAUUGCACAAUGGGCGCAAGCCUGAUGCAGCCGUGCCGCGUGUAUGAAGAAGGCCUUCGGGUUGUAAAGUACUUUCAGCGGGGAGGAAGGGAGUAAAGUUAAUACCUUUGCUCAUUGACGUUACCCGCAGAAGAAGCACCGGCUAACUCCGUG
rnacentral:rRNA from 1 species